AAAAUGAUUAUGAAUAUUGAAGGAGAUCGUUGUAUAUAAAAAGUACAUGUUAUUAAGUUAUGUGUGUAAGCAUUGUAAUUUUUGAAAAUUAUUUCUUUAGUUUUAAGUCCAUGUUUCUCUUUUUAUCUCUGUUUUAUCCGUGGUCAGGACCCUUUUUAAAUUCAUGAAGAAAUUUGAAGCUGUUCUAAGUGAGCCCUGCCGGUCAUGCUUGGUGGAGAGUGACAAGGAAGAACAGCCUGACUUUUUGCCCAGGCCAGCAGAUGAAGCCAUGAGUGAGACAUCUCCCAUUCAGUGUCUGAAUAGAGCACUGAGGGAGACCUUGUUAGUCUGGCCACCAGCUAGGCAGGUCACAAUUCCAGAACAGUGUCCAAGUGCUACUCCUUUCUCUAUGGAAGGGGAGCUUCUGCGUCGCUUGCCAAAGCUCACAAAACGAAUGAGGAAGAUGUGCCUUUCAUUCAUGAAGGAGAGCCCUUUGCCUCACCUAGUGGAGGGCCUUGAUCAGUUCGCUGGUGAGUGGCAAUUGUUCUGCUUUCCCCUGUGGCCCAGGAGGGCUUGGAGGUGGUACCUGUGUCCUAUUUUACAUCUUGCAUAGUGUUAGUUAAUUGAAUAAGGACACAGGCUAAAAAACAGCAGAGCCCAAACACAGGAGCCUACUGAGAACACACAGACUGUCCUCACUUUCCUCAUACCAUCCUUGAUGUAAACUAGUGAUAGGUUACACCAUCUUUUUUUCAGAGUUUGGCUACAUUUGCCAA
rnacentral:lncRNA from 1 species